UACGUAGGGUGCAAGCGUUGUCCGGAAUUAUUGGGCGUAAAGAGCUCGUAGGCGGUUUGUUGCGUCGGCUGUGAAAUCCCGAGGCUCAACCUCGGGUCUGCAGUCGAUACUAGCAAACUAGAGUGUUGCAGGGGAGACUGGAAUUCCUGGUGUAGCGGUGAAAUGCGCAGAUAUCAGGAGGAACACCGGUGGCGAAGGCGGGUCUCUGGAACGCAACUGACGCUGAGACGCGAAAGCGUGGGGAGCAAACAGG
rnacentral:rRNA from 1 species